AGUGCAUCAUUGUUGAGGAUUUUAUUUGAGAUUUGAGAAGGCAGACAGAAACUUAAAGAAAAUUAAAAAAUCAUUUUUGGCUUAUCAGGCACUCUAUAGAGCUGCUGGAGUUCUAUGAGAUCUGGAGCCCAGCCUCAAGAAGGUUAUGAUCUGGCAAGUACAUAGCUUUCCAAUAUCAUAGGCUAUCUUGAAACUACUAUCUUUAUCUUUAUCUUUAUCUUUAUCUUUAUCUUUAUCUUUAUCUUUAUCUUUAAGAGAUGGGUGGAUACACACACACUCCAAACUAUUCUAAAGAUCUUACUAUUUCUGCAUACUCUGGUCACUUUGGAUCUUGAUGAGAGGCAGAUCAAAGAAGGUCUUAAGAUGCUGUCUCAAAAUCUCAGGUGAGGAGCUCACUUUAUGAGAGGAAAAUAACCAUCCAUGGAAUAGAAAUUAAGUAUUCUGGAUUUCAGUGAUGAGGCCUAGCAGGAGAGAAUUUUUGUGGGUAGGAGAGGGGGAGGGAAUGGGAAUAAGCAAUUACCCAGGAGGUAAAUGACUCCUCCCCGGACAGUGGCAAUAUGGUGCCCAGGAUGACAUCACUGUUCUCACGCAGAGAUCUCCUGUCUCAGGACUGAGUUCAGUUUUCUGGGCUCACCACAUUUCUGGAGCACGCUUCAUUCCUCUUUGCUCAGGCUGAUUAGAUUUUAUUUUUAUUUUACCUAAUUAAUCCAAAUGACGUACUAAAAGAAUAUUGUUUGGGAAGAUGCCUCAAGAACUGGCAUCAACCUUCUGUUCAAAACAAGCUGAACCGGAAAGCAGAGAACAAACAAUUACCCUAGUUUAGUCUAAGAUGAAGCUUGGCUUGUCAGGCUUCCUGAGCGGCUCUGCUCAGGGCCAACUGGGUGGAAGACUUAACUAGGAAGAGAAUCUUAUUGUUGAUCUGGUCAGUCAUUUUAAAGAACUUGCAAUAUUCUUUUGUGUUCAUUUUGUAAUACUAACUUUAGGGAUGUGAUAAGCCAUACCCUAAAUAGAAAGAAGGCAAGAUACCUUUUAAGAAUUUUGUGGGCCUAGGUUUCAAAACAACUUUACUAAGUGUUUAUUGUGCCUCCAUUAAAAGAAAGAGAAAAAAAAAUCUGGCUUAGUUUUUAUAUCUGCCCCUGCAGUUUGUAUAACCCAUAUAAAAUAAAAAUCUAUAUGUUACAAAAUAGGAUUUCUUU
ensembl:lncRNA